CUAAGAGCAUACGGUGGAUGCCUUGGCACUAGAAGGCGAUGAAGGACGUGGUAACCUGCGAUAAGCGUCGGAUAGGUGGAAACAACCUUUGACCCGGCGAUUUCCGAAUGGGGCAACCCUCUUAGAGUAAUAUCUAAGAACUCUGUGCUGAAUUCAUAGGCGCAGCAGAGCGAACGGGGGGAAUUGAAAUAUCUCAGUACCCCUAGGAAGAAAAAGUAAUAACGAUUUCCCUAGUAGUGACGAGCGAACGGGAAAGAGCCUAAACCGGUUAAUACAGUAAAGGACGCAACCGUUGUAUUGCCGGUGUUGUGGGGCGCGCACUGACCAAUUUGCGUGGAGGUCGGGGAGUAAAAAACCAAACUGUUAGUCGAAUCUUUUGGAAAGAAGAAUCAUAGAAGGUGAAAAUCCUGUAGACGAAAAUAGUUUGGCUCCCUCGUGAGCGUUCCCAAGUACCGCGGAGUAAGUGGAAGUCUGUGGGAAUCUGCGAGAACCAUCUCGCAAGGCUAAAAACUCUCUAGUGACCGAUAGUGAACAAGUACCGUGAGGGAAAGGUGAAAAGCACUCCUAACAGGAGGGUGAAAUAGUACCUGAAACCGUAUGCUUACAAACGGUUGGAGCGAUCCCGAUUCAGCUUGCUGAAUUGGGAAAGUGACAGCGUGCCUUUUGCUUAAUGAGCCUACGAGUUACUCGUACGAUGCAAGGUUAAGUCUCUCAAGAGACGGAGCCGUAGCGAAAGCAAGUCUGAAUAGGGCGAACAUAGUGUCGUGCGGUAGACGCGAAACCUGGUGAUCUACCCAUGGUCAGGAUGAAGUGAGGGUAAAACCUCAUGGAGGUCCGAACUGAUGAGGGUUGAAAACUUCUCGGAUGAACUGUGGGUAGGAGUGAAAAGCUAAUCGAACUGGGAGAUAGCUCGUACUCCUCGAAAUAGCUUUAGGGCUAGCCUCGAGUAAUAAUGUCACGGAGGUAGAGCACUGAUUGGGCUAGGGUCGUCACAACGAUACCAAACCCAGACAAACUCCGAAUUCCGUUGACAUGUUUCUCGGGAGUCAGGCGACGAGGGAUAAGCUUCGACGCCAAAAGGGGAAUAACCCAGACCACCAGCUAAGGUCCCAAAAUCGAAGUUAACAGACAAAGGAUGUUAGGUUGCAUAGACAACUAGGAUGUUGGCUUAGAAGCAGCCAUUCAUUUAAAGAGUGCGUAAUAGCUCACUAGUCAAGCGACCCAGCGUCGAUAAUUCUCGGGACUUAAACUUCGUACCGAAGCUGUGGAUCCCGCCGUAAGGCGGGAUGGUAGAGGAGCAUUCUCUUCAGCGACUGCGGUGAACGCAGGUCCCGACUUGUCGGGGUGAAGGUGUGCAGUGAUGCAUGCUGGAGCGGAGAGAAAUGCAGAUGUAGGCAUAAGUAGCGAUAAGAAAAGUGGCAAACUUUUCCACCGAAAAUCUAAGGUUUCCUGAGCAACGUUAAUCGUCUCAGGGUUAGUCGGACCCUAAGGUGAGGCCAAACGGCGUAACCGAUGGAAAACAGGUUGAAUAUUCCUGUACCUGUUUGUAGUCGUCUGACCAUAAGGGGUGACGCAGGAGUGAAAACCAGCCGUCUGUUGGUUUAGACGGUCUAAGGUGGUAGGGGUCUCGGGUAGGCAAAUCCGCCCGGGAGUUAUCUCCGAGAGCCGAACGGGAGGGCGCAAGCCCACAAACUGGUUGUAACCAUGCUGCCAAGAAAAACCUCGUAUGGGAGACUGCAGGCAGUCCGUACCGCAAACCGACACAGGUAGAUGAGGAUAAAUGUCCUAAGGUGCUCGAGUGAGCCAUGGUCAAGGAACUCGGCAAACUGACCCUGUAACUUCGGGAUAAAGGGUGUCUCGACGGGUUAGGGGAUUUACUCCCCGAAGCUAGUCGAGAUCGCAGUGAAACGGGCCAAGCGACUGUUUAACAAAAACACAUCACUUUGCUAAGUCGUAAAGACGACGUAUAAGGUGUGACACCUGCCCGGUGCCGGAAGGUUAAGGAGAGAGGUCAUCCCGACGCAAGUCGGGAGAAGCUUUGAACCGAAGCCCCGGUAAACGGCGGCCGUAACUAUAAAAACUGCAUGGACCUCCCGCCUCUGGCGGAACGCAGUGUUGUAGUUGUAAAAUUUGGCUAUAUGCUGGAAACUCCGUAGCAUCUCACACUACUCGUUCUCAACAUGAGAGCAGUAACAAUGUGUGAGUGAAUCGAAAACGAAAGUUGACGAUAGCGGACAAUCAGCAGGAAAGAUAUUUUGAAUUUCGGAUUUCGAAUUGUUGAUUGCGAAUUGAUUCCGACAUGUCGGGACAAUCCGCAAUCCUAAAUCAACAAUCCGCAAUCAAGAUGUAUCCUCAGAGACUAUACGCCAAAUCUCAGUUCAUGAGACAAACUGAGAAUGAUAUAGUCCGUCCUCUGCAGCGAUGCAGAGAGCAAUUCAGAAAUGAAUUGCCGCUCUUGUAGGUCGAACUUCAGUUCGACAAACUAAGAGACGCAACAAUCGAGAACGGUCCUAAGGUAGCGAAAUUCCUUGUCGGGUAAGUUCCGACCUGCACGAAUGGUGUAACGAUUUGGUCACUGUCUCGACCAUGGGCUCGGCGAACUUGUGGUACCGGUGAAGACGCCGGUUACCCGCAUAUGGACGGAAAGACCCCGUGAAGCUUUACUAUACCUUAACAUUGGGUUCGGGUAAAACAUGUGUAGCAUAGGUGGGAGACGUUGAAGCCGGGGCGCUAGCCUCGGUGGAGUCACCAGUGAAAUACCACCCUUGCUUUAUUUGAAUUCUAACCUCCUGCCGUAAUCCGGCAGAGGGACCGUGUUAGGCGGGUAGUUUGACUGGGGCGGUCGCCUCGACCGCACUAUAAAUAUGGGGCUCUCGUGUGGCAACACACGAAGCAAACAUC
rnacentral:rRNA from 1 species